GCUUCUCUACAGAAAAACUCUCUCUCCCUAUGGCGACCUACCACGUAUUCCUCACCGGGCGUCAUCAUCCUCUCCCUAGCCUGGAUCGGCUGUACCUCAGAUCGAGAUCCGGUUUUUCUGGACCGACCAAACCACAUCGACCUCUGUCGGGCACCUUGGGGAGGUCGUCCUUCGGCUUGCUAGCACUGGCUCGCGUACGAAGCCAGGCUGCACCACCGGUGCGGAUCGCUGCCGGCUGCUCCCUGCCCGCUCGAUCUUCUGCCUCCAUCUCGCAACUCGCAAGUGGCCUAUUUUGACCCGGGCGGCUAGGGGUGCCCUAAGAUCAAGAGGAAGGAGGCGAACCUGGGGCAUUCGGAGGGGAAGAAGAGAGGUUGGGGGAGCACAUCCGUCUGAGCAAGAUGAGAUCCCACCUUAAAGAAUCGAUGUGCAGCAGCGACGCUGGAGCAGCAACAAAGCGACCUCGCUAAUAAAUUCAACAGCCUGCAUGUGCGUGCCAUGCUCUGUGCAAUCCGCAGUUCAAUCCUGCUCCCCUAUCCUCUUAAUGCGGGUUUUUAUUCAUGGGUGGGUCACCUGCCAAUGGUUUGCUUCUAAGUAUUGUGCGUUUUGUGCUUUGUCCAGAUGCACUACGUGAGGCUGAGCCAAUGACACAUCGGGGAAGAGCAGAUCGACUUCGACGCUACUAGCCACCCUGCAACAACAUCCACAACCGAUGGCAUUUCAGACUACACAUGCCGCAGUUUAUGCCUGCUUUGGUACUGGCGAGGCUAGGAUCUUCCUCUGUGUCUUAUGGCGUGCCUUUGACCUGCCGCUCCGGUGUAAUUUCGUCUAGCGGCGCUAGAGAUAUGGCAUCUCUGCAGGUGUUGUAAGGCUUGGUUGAGCUCAAAGAUCCUUAUUGCAUGAUGGCUCUUAUUGGCAUGGGAUCGAUGAGAUCGAGCAGCAGAAACUGUUCCAUGGAGUGGUUCGAUGGGAUCGAAUAGCAAAAACAGGUCUACAUCUGUUCCAUGGCUGCCGGCAAGAGGUCCAUGCUCUUCGGUGUCCCUGGGGCCUUAGCCUCCAGAAGUGAUUUUUUGGACUCAAAUUGGCCUUCAGGAAAUCGCACCAUCGUUUAAGAGUGAUUAUUUGAACUCCAUUGCAGGAAUAGGACUACACGUAGAGAAUUGACUAUAGAUAUCUGUGUGAGCUGCAAAUAUGUGGUGCUUAUAAGCUACUUGUGACGGUUGAUGCAGUCAUGGAUGCACAUCUUAGUUCGGAUCAAGUUAGUGCUACAUUGUGGUGUACACUUCCUGUCACCUCCUGGUUCUACACUCAUGUAUAUUCAGAUUUUUCCCUAUGCCUUCUAUUGCUAUAUGUAAAAGACCUGCUGUUUCUGACAUACCUCUUUGUACCACUUCUUACUAUUGUAAUUGGUUCACUUGGUAAUGGUUCAUGGUCUGUGUAAAUUUAAUUUUCUUAUUUGAUUUUUCA